CAGCCCUAAAUAACCUCUCUCACCCAACGCUCUAUCUCUAUCACACCCAAACUCUCUCUGUCUCUCUUCUUGCCCAAGCUCGCCCAUGCCAAGUGCUCUCGCUCUUUAUCUCUAUCACGCCCAAACUCUCUCUCUGUCUCUCUUCUCACCCAAGCUCGCCCAUGCCAAGCGUUCUCUCUCUCUCUCUCUCUCUCUCUCUCUCUUUCUUGCCCAAGCUCCGCAGCGCCUUGAACAAGACAUAGUCGAGGUCCGAAAGAAUCGUCAGAGAGAAUAAGGUGAUUUUUUCGAAACUCUAAAACCCCUAGAUUUCUUUUAAUCUGAAGUUCUGUUGUACCCGACCGAUUAUGCGAUUUUUUAUUGCCAGUUGUCUCUCAUAUGCUGAUCGAUUGUGUUGAUCUUUCAUUUAAUUUGGUAUUGUGCCAAUUUGAUUUGAUUUGGGUAGAUUUCGUUUGGGUCUGUUUAGGGCUCAAGAUCUAAUUUUGAUUCGGUUUUCUUUCUGGAUUUUCUAGCCAAAGGUCGAUGAGAUCUUUCCCCCUCCCUCAACUCCUCUUUCGCUCCAGUUCAUUUUGCACUUGCUUCUUUAUCAAUUGGGUUACAUUUUAAUACACCACAGUUCAUGGUUCUGAAGUUUCUUUUUAAAACUUAGAAGCAUCUUUUAAGGCUAAAAAUUAAGAUCUUGACAUGUUACACAGUUGUUUCAGCUGCGAAUAUAGAUGCGUAGGUAUAGUAAUUCUUUCUGUUUGUUACUUUUUCCAGUGAUGGUUUUGUAGGAGCUUUCUUUUGUUUCACUUAGUCCUCUCUCCCAACACACGUUUUUGUAUUCUUAUGUUUCUUGCUAAUUUCUGCUUUUCAUUUCCUGCACGAGUAGAAAUUUCAUUGCUUGGAUAGAGAAAGGUACAGUCCAUUUAUAUGUGUGCCUUCUUGGAAAACAAGUAUGAAUGUAUGAAAUUGUGUACAAACAGUAAAGGGUACAGUCCAUUCAUAUACAUUCAUAUAAACAAGUAUUGCAUGAAUUAACUCUAUCGAUUUCUUCAGUGCAAUUUAUUAGGAACUAAGCUGUGAUUAUUUUGAGUUCACAACAACAGAUCUUUGUAUUUCAUUUUAUUAGGAGCAAAACAGUUCAGUUUGAAUUUUAAAUUCCUUUUGUGGUUCCCCAGUUUCAGAUUUCAUGUACUUUACAAGCUUGAUAAUUGAUACCUGAAGUCACCAACUGAUGUGUAUGAGAAAUUAUGCUGAUUUUGGGGUUUCACUGAUUCUGAAAUCAAUUAGACACCUUACAAAUGGUGAGUAAUGUUCAAUCACAAUUAAGAUGCAAGGAUAAAGUGCUAUUGUGAAUUCUGGCAAGGAUCAAUUAGACUUUAGCUUGAAGCUGAUAGACUUUUGGUAUAGUAUGUAAGCGUUGUUUGGUGUAUGAAUUUGGAUUGCCAUGAUGAAUAGAAGCUUGAUGCCAUUGAAAUAGAGCAUAUGAUAUGUAUUGAAUGGAUCCAUUAGGCUAAUUGUGUAUAGGAUUUGGAUUGAUCCUUACACAUAUUAUACUGAUCCCGAUUUUUAUUUCAUCUAGAAGAACAUUCUUCUUCUAGACUGUGAAAGGAAGCGUAUUACAUACUUUGAUAAUUGGCCAACAAAUGCUACAAAGCUAGCUUGAAAAAUCUAUGUUGAUUAAGACCAAAGACAAAUGCAUGGAUAAAAGGUAUGCAACAAUGAUAUCAUUGAAAUACAUACAGUGCCCCGAUUUUUUCUUUUUCAUUUUCUUUUAUUGAUAUGCUACAAAAAGUCAUGUUAUAUCACUAGAAUUGCAGUCUUCAUAAUUACUAUUGUAUCUUUUGCUGCGGAGGUUAUGAUGUUCAAGUGCAACGUUUUAUAUAAGUUUGUCCAAGACCUUUACUUCUUUGUGACUGGAGGUGAUGGUGAAAAUGAACUCAUUUAGCCACUGUCCUUCAGGGAUUCUUUGAUGCAGAUGCCCUUUUCUUGAGGUCUCCUCACUGAGUUGGCUUAUAAUAAGAUACUCUACAAUCUGGAUUUCAGAAAUAAUGCAAUCACACAGUGGUCACAUCUGAAGGUUAGAUGCAGAAAAUUGAAACUUUUCUUUGUAUAAUUUUGUUUCUUUAUUUCAUUUUACUAUGGUUCUCUUUUAUGUUCCAAUGUUUCAUUUAUUGAUUGAUCUGAAGAACCUCAAUCUGCAUGCUCAAAAGCUUAAAACAGCAAAACAGGUAUUAGCCAGUAUCUUGCCUUUUCUCCUUUGUAUAAAGAAUUUGAAACAGAGUAUGCACAUGCUAUUCUGCUUAGAAUCAUCAAUUAUGCUAUAACCUGCAAGAUUGGCAAAGUUCAAAUAAAUUAAGCGUGCAUUGAAAUACUCAAACAGGGUUCCAUAUAUUACUUCGUCGUCCAUUUCGACUUAUUUAUUUAUGAAGUAUGAAAUGGUUUAAGGACAAUUACUGUGUAGAUCAUAAUAUAUAUUAUAUCAAUCCUCUAAUGUCAGCUUUCAGCAUAUAAAAUGGUCUUGAUACUCCUACUUUAAAUGACAGCGCAUUCUUUUGCAAUUGGUGAAGCCGAAUCCCAGAUAAAGGCAAAUGAUAUUCAUUAAGAAAAGGCUCCAGUUGCAGGUACAUAAUUUUUAUGCUCAGGUAUAUUGGACGAAUAAUAUAUAUACAUGUGUUUUAUCAUAGCAUUGUGUUAAUAUCUCUUAGGUUUCAAUUCUCCAACUAUGAUCUGGAUUUCAGUUGGUUUCAACUAUGAGUGGUACACUGAAAAACUUCUUUUGACUGCCAAAAAGGUUAUUUUGGCAGCCGUAAGAAAACUGGAUCUGCAGACUUGCUUUUUUCAACUUGAGGCGCCAAUAACUUUCACGCUCUAAGCAGAAUUCCGGAAGGCAAGACAUAUUAUUGGAUGGCACUACAAUUGUAGUUGGGCAACUCUCAUUGAAUUCGAAGCAAGAAAACCAAAAUCACCACUCUCAGUUUUGAUGAUGAUGCUCCGCAAACCGAAGUCAAAAUCUCUCUCUGACCAAAUCCAAAACCAUAGCUUCUAUACACAAGAACAACAAGAAUGAAGCUGCAAAUACAUCUGUCCAACAUAACACCAGAGCAGUGCUUCAACAUAUAACUACUAAGUUUUACUUGCAUUUAUUCAUUGUAAUGAAAAAAUUUAGAUAAUCUGUACCUGACCGCAAAUGGAAGUGGUAAGGUCUACUUGAUCUCUGAAGGUGGUCUGGAGACAGCUACACCGGCAUGAGAUUGAGAUUCAAUUAGGACAUGACUUCAAUCUGUGUUACGACCAAUUGAAUCUCAAUCUCAUUGUGUUGUAUCUUGCUUCAGACUACCUUUUAAAAUCAGGUAGACCUUGCCCACUUCUCUUUGAGAUCAGAAUAAGUGUACAAACUAAGUAUACAAAAUCAUUGAUAUUCUUAUGUAUACUACAGCCCCUUACUUUUCUAAACAAGUGACUGAUAAUCAUAAUCAUAUACCCCGCAGCAAAGUGCGGGCUAAUAUUGCUAGUUCAAUGCUAAGUCAGGAAUUGUUCUCUGUUGUUAACAGUUAAAAGGGUCUCUUAGAGUCCGGUUAUAGGAUGACAUCUUCUGUUAACAAUAGUAAUUGACAAUGCAUGUGCAGAGCUUGCAUGGAAAGGCAGCUUCAUAAUAAAUAUAUUUUGUGCACAAACAGUAAAGGGUAGAAGAAACUGUUUCAUAUAUUUUUCCCUUCUUAAAGGUAAAGUUGGUCUAUAUGAAUGUAUGAAAUUUUGAAUGAAAUGUUGCCAGAUUGAACUUCAAAUUCUCUCAUAAAUGACAGGAUAAAGUGUUGUCAACCGUUGAUACCUUUAUUUUCUAUAUAUAAUCUAAUAUUACCCUAUUAAACCUUCUGUCUAUCUGUACGCAGGUAACGAGUGUUGGAAUCAAUACUGAAUGGGGAUUGUUGAUGGCAAGUAUAUCUCUGAGGAUACCUAUAAAGAAACUCUUCUACAAGUUCUUGCAUUUUUUCUAGAAUGUUGUUCUUUAAUUUUGGAAAAUCACUUACAGCUGAUUGCUAUCUAUUUGUGGUCUGAAAGUUAUCUAUACGGCUAGAGCUCUACUCUAGUAAUAUUCAUAUUGUUAUCUCUCUGCUGCGUACAAGUGAUUAUGAUGGAUGUAGGUAGGCUUUUACUAUUCGUCACAAUUGCUUGCAUCUGUUAUUCUAUGGUAAAUUAAAUAUAAAGCCUAAGGUCUAUGAUUUUAGUGCAGACAAGGUUGACAUCGAAACUAAAACCGAAAGCGAAGAAGGCAUGGUUCCAACUUCCUAUAUUAACAUUAAGUUUCUUGUGUUUUUUGUGCUGUGCUUAAUCAUGUUUUCUGUAAUGGUUUGCAAGCUCAUUUUCUUCACUGUUGCUUGAAGUAAAUGAUCUCUUACCAUUCCUGUAAGAGUCUGAUAGAUUGUUCUUUGUUAUGCAGAUUUGUGUUCUUUCCAAUUUCUGACCUGAAACUGUUGAGGAUGCUAGCUAAUGAAGGUCCUGCAGUGUUGUGUUCCUUGCAAUCUCUGACCUGAAACUGUUGAGGAAGCUAGCAAAUGAAGGCGUUACAGUCUUUGUUUUUUUUUUUUUUUUUUUGGAUUUGUGAUUUUUGGUUGGUGUAAGAAUGAUAGAUAUUGUAUUUUGAUAUUUGUCAAUUUAUAAUAUUUGUGGAACAUGGUACUUG